GUGGAUCGCCACUGCGCCCGCUCUCGCGUUUCCUGUGCCAGGGCGUCUGGAUCAUUAGGGGCGCGUUGUCCUGACUCCGCUCGGCCCCGUGUUUUCCUUGGGUCCUGUCGCAGCCGUCCAGGCUCCGCCUCACUCAUCCCAAGGGGUGGAGUUCGGGGCUGGAAUGGCGAGCGGCGCUUGGGUGCCAGGAGGCCACGUGGGGAAGCAAAGGCGCCUCCUUUCUCCCUCGACUUCCCUUUUUUCAUCGCACGCCUCGCACGCUUUUGCCCGGGCAGGUGACGCCGGGCACCCGCAGGAUAGAGCCAGGAGUCAACUUUUAACUCCACACCACAGUAGGAAGCAGCUAAACAGAAAAAAAAUGGGAUAAAGUUUACCUUUCAGAAAUAUGCCAAGUAACACACUGCAGCACACUAAGACUACGAAGACAGGAGGCUGAGUGAAGCCAAAUUACCCAGAAGCAACUGUCCUUUUGCAUUCUUACACCACAGUGCGAUGAUUAACUUUGGGCAUGUAAAAAGAAGAACAUACAGAUGUAAUUGCUGGAAACAUUGUGAAGAAGCUGAACUAAGACUGAAGUUUAGAACUAAAUUGUGCCGAUUUUUCUUCAUUAACAUUCUACUUGUGGCACCUUAGAGACUAACAAAUUUAUUCGAGCAUAAGCUUUCGUGGGCUUAAACCUACUUCAUGCAUGCAUCCGAUGAAGUAGGUUUUAGCCCACAAAAGCUUAUGCUCAAAUAAAUUUGUUAGUCUCUAAGGCCUAGUCUACA
rnacentral:lncRNA from 1 species